ensembl:lncRNA
CUUUGUUGUCCGUUUCUUUCUUCUUUCUUUUUGAUGGCUCCUUACGUGGCUCUUGAAAGCGGCAUGGCAAAGGUGUACUGUCUUCUUUGCUUCAUGUGACUUUUCAACUAAUUCAUUCUGAAGUCCAUAACUGUGAAGAACAUUGUGGCUAAAUCAGGCUGAACACUCCACAGCGCAUGUCUCCCAUCAGGCUGUCGUCUUGGCUGUAAACAUGUUGUUAUUCUCUUCAUGCUAGUGACGGAAAGCAUUCACAUCCCACAAACUGAGCAAUCGCAUUUACUGCGACAGCUGCAUCGAUGUGUCACCGCUGAUUGGAAAACACUCAGUCUCCGACCACAAGCAGUGCACCCGAACAAGUGCACGGCCGAAUCCUCUUUUCUGUGCUUAGUUGGUGCUUAACGCCUGGAUCUGUUCAUAUUACACGUGUUGUGAUGCAAAUAAGUCGUGCUCAAGGUUCAGUCCACCCAAAUAACAAAAGUGAAUCAUUUUCACACUUCUUUACAAUGCUACGUUUCUGAACUUAGUUUCAUCUGCCUAGAUGUUGAGAUAUGAUUUUAUUUUCCUGUCUCCACCCUAAUAUAAUAUUUCUAGUGGUUUUCCUUCAAAAGACUGUCUACCAAAGAAAUAAUCCUUAUGACAGCUGCAGACAGUGUGUUUUAUGGAUCAUGUGAAAUAAAAGAGUGACUGUUUUUGUUUUUUUUUUUAGUUUUUGUUUUUAUGAAACCCACAACAGAUAUUCCAUUCUCUUUAAGCAUUCAGAGUUGGAUGCUGAUAUCUCAGAACCUGGCUAAUAAAACCAAAACCAUCUGAAUGGCUAAAUAUGACAGGUAGCAAAUAAAUACAUUUGGCUGAACUAAUCCUUUAAAGCAUUAAAAAGUGGUUCUUCCACUGAGGAGUAAAACCUUCCUUUUGUUUGCAGUCUUGCUAAUGAGUAAAUCAAUUGGCUGCAGUCCAGUUUUGCUCAGAAAGAGCAGCCAAACUGUGGAAAAGAAUUUUCUCUAUCACACAAUGAAGCGAGCGCCACCUCAGCAAAGCGACUAAUUCAGUUAAGCAGCAGUUUCAAAGCAGCGCUGCAUGUGAAAUAGUGGAAACAUUUGUAAUAAAGACCAGGAAGCGCUUCUGUAAACAUGUCAGGCUUUAUUGCACAAAUGUGUCUGGAAUGUAUCUGAGAGAUGUGUGUCAUAACUCUUGUGAAUGCCUUCCAGGACAGAUUGCCGGCUUGGGGGUAGGUGUGGGACACGUCUGGUCCAGGAGUCCACAUGUUGUGACAGGGCAGAUCAAAAAGAUGAAAGUCGGUGUAGCAGCGCGGAGACAGAUGGACGCUGUGACACAUACGUUCACGAAAAGUCAGGCAAACAGACAGGCUGACACCUGGCUGCAGAUCAAAUGCCAUCAGAAACUGGAGGAGAGGGAUGAGUGUUUGUGUUUGUGUGUGACAGACAACAAGAUGUGGCCAAAAGUAUACAGUCGUCUCUGUCAGCACAUGGUCUGGGUUCGGCUCCUUUAGUUCCAAAUACGGGAAAUCUUAAAGCCCCUGAAACCCAAACUAUUUCUAUAUCAUGACGAUAUAUGCAACAGUCAAAGUAAACAUAUGAAUAGGCACUAUUUAUUAAGAAUCUGAAACAGCAAAACUCAUCGGAUAAUUCUAAAUCCUGACUGGUGAAGAAGUAUAUGACAUCACUUUUUCUAACUUAGUCCCACUCUGUUCAAGCCAGUAACAAAACCUGAAAUAAACUAGAAGAAACAGGAAUUUUCCAAAACUGUGCUGACGUUGGUAGAAAAUAGUGUGUCUAUGCAUAGAAAGAGGCAGAUUGGAAAAUAAAUUUGAGCAUUUAACGUACUAUUUUAGACUGCAGCCCCCACACAGAGAGGUGUAAUGUUUGGUCAUCUGUAUGCUCUUGCCCAUGUUUGUUGUGUAGGUUGAUUCGUUUUUGUGCGGUUUGCGUGCAGUCGGCUUUGUAAGUCGAGGUUCCCUGCAAUUCUCAGAAACUUGCCGCUCCUUUGCAGCCCAACCUGAGUUGAGACAGACACAGAGAACGAGGGUGACUGGGUUAGAAAAAAGCAAAUGAAGGGGAGGGGAGACUAAGGGAAAAACCUCCAGACGGGUUUGAAUUCCCCACAAUCAGAAAGAGAGACCGAGAUGGAAAGAGGGAGGGAGUGAUCCUUACAAUCACAGACUUUCCACAUUUAGAGCGUCUCCCCUUUUUGUUUUGGUUUGCACUUAGGCUUUUAUGUGAAGUCAAUCGAUGUGUCUUUCCUUUCUGGGGUUUGGUUUUAAAAGUUUUAAUAUUGCUUUUGGUGUAGGUCUGAGAAACAGAGAGGGGCAGGUAAUGAGUGUCUCUGUUUUUCUAUUUGACUUUGUUUUUGUACUUUUUUAUUUGUAAUUUUAUCCACUUGGCAGCUUCAUAUUUACUAUCUUUUUAAGGCGGUGAGUGUGUGUGUGUGUGUGUGUGUGUGUGUGUGUGUGUGUGUGUGUGUGUGUGUGUGUGUGUGUGUGUGUGUGUGUGUGUGUCUGUCUGUGUCUGUGUGUGUGUGUGUGUGUGUGUGUGUGUGUGUGUGUGUGUGUGAGCUCACAAGUACUGUCUCAGCCUACUGCUAGAUAGACUUCUACUCCACCUCACAGAUCUUUUACCUCCUCCGAUGACGUAAAGGGGACGUCAUACUGUGGCGGCCAUCUUGUUUUGUUGUUUUUGUGACAUCAUCUUUUCCUCGUGACCUUAACAGCAUCACCUCUUGUUCUGAUAUAUUCUUACACUGUUUUUCUUUGAGGUUUUUUUUUACGCACACAAGGCAGUUGCAGUCACAGAUAACCACACACACAUGCAUACAUUCGCACAAUGACGCACAAACACAUACACACAGUGCAGUCUGUUUUUUUUUUUUUUUUUUUUCUUUUUGGUCUGAUAGCGGCCUUGUUCUCUGCUGGUCAAACAGUCAGACUACUGUAGGCGCUCUGUUUGAGCCCUCGCUGUUAUGUGAUCGCUAUGAAGGCUCACCAUUGUGUGACCAAAAAACAUUUUUGUCAUCGUUCAGCUACUCAGAACCAGUUAGGGCCGGAGUCAUGACCCGAGAGCAGCCCAGGAUACAGAAGAAGAAAAGAAACUGCCAUUUUUGCCCUCCUCUUUUCUUUUAGUCUUCUGAGUCUGUCACACAGCAAAGUGGUGCUGGUUUGAUGCUUUUCCGUGCUUCUGUUAUCACUGAUAUCCUCUGUGUGUUUUUUCCCCUCCAAAUAGACAAAGAUGUCAAAAAACUAAAAUAUAUAUAUUUGGGAAAAAGCUUUUUAUUUGAGUUGCAUGCUGAACUACACAGAGUAAUUCUGCCUGUAAAACUAUGACUUGCACCUUAUUGGAGGGAUGUGCUUUUUUUGGUUUUUUAAUGCAUACAUAAAUAUAUAUAUGGGGGAUGUAUCAUGUUUUAUUUUUGAUUUUGAUAAAGGAUGUAAUUGUUAGCUAGUCAGGCAAUGUAUGUAUCUUAAACAGGGUUCUGAUUUUUUUUUAAAUGCUUAAUAAUGCUGAGUUUCACUAUAACUGAUCAGUCACUGGUUUUUGUUGUAGGACGACUUCACUAAGCAGAAACUGAUCCUGGUGAGCAUGAAAAAGCCCAGCAGAUUUCCAAAAAUAUUUGUUUUCAAAACAGGAUUUUUCAGUCUUUACUCCAUAAAACUGGGAAUUCUUUGAUUCUUUAAGAUGAGACACAAAUUGACAAAGUGUUUAUCCAAGAAUAUUGAUGAAUUCUCUGCCAACUGGAGAAUUCUGCUUUUAAGAAUGAAGUAAAACAAUCAUGGUGACAGCUGCCGCUUAGUGAAGCAUCGUCUGCAUGUCCUCAUACACACACUGGCCUGUCCUCACACGGUGACCACUAGGAGGCGAUCUGCUGGUCCUCCCAAAUACCACAUGUCCGCACUCACUUCCUCCGCCUUCCGUCCAGCUUGUCCUUGGAAAAGGACAAAAAACACUGACAAAAGACACCAUGUUGUUCACACACAGACACACAACAGUACAGUCUUGGCAGAUGAGUGGCGCUCGGUGUGGUGCUGCCACCCGCUCUAAUGUCCCCAGGGCAGAGUACUGUCUGCAGCCAAUUAACCAACAGGGCUGUUUGCCAGUUCCAUAUCCAUCUAAUCCUCUCCACCCACCCGCCGGUUUGCUGAAUAAGCCCUCCACUUCUUUAUAGACUUUGUUGUGUUAAAAAGAGAAAAAAAAAUAAUACGGUUUACAAUGGGAGAGGGAUAGUGAAAGUAGGUUAGUUGUUUUGGUGUAUCUCUAUUGGAUAAAAUCCUGGUGGAACAAAAUGGGUUGCAGCACUUUGUCUUUUAUUUUAUAAAUGGUGAGAUCACACCAUUCCCCCGUAAAAAAACAAAAACAGUCACCCCUUUUCAGGAACACAUUUCCAAAAGCUAUCAAGAGCAGAAAGAGGAUUACUGGACAUUACUGUUUUAUUUUUGACAGUGGCAACAUAUGAGCGAGCCCUGCUACAUAUUGUGAUAUCAUACAAUAACACAACCUGUAUCCCCUGCCUCCCUCUGUCCCCAUGCACUGAUAAUGAUUGUAAAUGGUCGCAUAGUUUUAUUUUUUAUAUCAUUGUUGGGGCUUUGUUUUGUUUCUGGGGUUGUCUUUUUUUUUAGUUUUGUGCUGUUAUUUUGAAAUGGUUUGAUGGGUCUCUGUGGGGAAGAGUGUGUGUGUGUGUGUGUGUGUGUGUGUGUGUGGGUGUGUGGGUGGGUGGGUGGGUGUGUGUGUACUGUAGCUUACUGUAUGUGUGCGUGACAGACGAGUAAAAGAGAUUGGAUGCGUUGUUUAGUGGCUCUGUGUUCAGCUCCCAGUACACAUCAGCCCUUUGCCUGUGUUCAUCAUUGUGCCAGUGUGUUCAGGUGUUCCCUUGCGCCUACAUUCGUUCAUCCAAAUGAAGAGAAAAGCAACUGGAGAUGAAGAGGAGAAGGCAGACUGCCUUUUCCCUCAGGGGAAAAAAAAAAACACAUGCGAGAAGAUACUUUUGAAAAAAGGAUAUUUUUCUCCUCUGUGGGGUCACAAAGAAGAGUGUACAUUUCUAAGUUAACUGAAAAUGAUGAAUAAAAAAAAUCAUUUGUUCUCAAUAUGAAUGGCUGUAUGUUAACCAUGAACAAAAAGUAAUGAGUUCUAUGACAAAGACAUAUAAUAAAUUAAUUUUAAAAUUUUAA